rnacentral:rRNA from 1 species
CCUACGGGAGGCAGCAGUCGAGAAUCAUUCACAAUGGGGGAAACCCUGAUGGUGCGACGCCGCGUGGGGGAAUGAAGGUCUUCGGAUUGUAAACCCCUGUCAUGUGGGAGCAAAUUAAAAAGAUAGUACCACAAGAGGAAGAGACGGCUAACUCUGUGCCAGCAGCCGCGGUAAUACAGAGGUCUCAAGCGUUGUUCGGAAUCACUGGGCGUAAGGCGUGCGUAGGCUGUUUCGUAAGUCGUGUGUGAAAGGCGCGGGCUCAACCCGCGGACGGCACAUGAUACUGCGAGACUAGAGUAAUGGAGGGGGAACCGGAAUUCUCGGUGUAGCAGUGAAAUGCGUAGAUAUCGAGAGGAACACUCGUGGCGAAGGCGGGUUCCUGGACAUUAACUGACGCUGAGGCACGAAGGCCAGGGGAGCGAAAGGGAUUAGAUACUCCGGUAGUC